AACGAACGCUGGCGGCAUGCCUAACACAUGCAAGUCGAACGAGACCUUCGGGUCUAGUGGCGCACGGGUGCGUAACGCGUGGGAAUCUGCCCUCAGGUACGGAAUAACUCAGGGAAACUUGAGCUAAUACCGUAUAAUGACUUCGGUCCAAAGAUUUAUCGCCUGGGGAUGAGCCCGCGUCGGAUUAGCUAGUUGGUGAGGUAAAGGCUCACCAAGGCGACGAUCCGUAGCUGGUCUGAGAGGAUGAUCAGCCACACUGGGACUGAGACACGGCCCAGACUCCUACGGGAGGCAGCAGUGGGGAAUAUUGGACAAUGGGCGCAAGCCUGAUCCAGCAAUGCCGCGUGAGUGAUGAAGGCCUUAGGGUUGUAAAGCUCUUUUACCCGGGAAGAUAAUGACUGUACCGGGAGAAUAAGCCCCGGCUAACUCCGUGCCAGCAGCCGCGGUAAUACGGAGGGGGCUAGCGUUGUUCGGAAUUACUGGGCGUAAAGCGCACGUA
rnacentral:rRNA from 1 species